GUCACUUUGCCGGAGGUAGGUUAACGGGAUGGCCUGCUAUCUCUUAGUAUCCAGCCAUUGGGCUUUACCCGCGUGUGUUCGAAGCGCACAGGUGACA